GAUGAACGCUGGCGGCGUGCCUAAUACAUGCAAGUCGAGCGAACAGAUAAGGAGCUUGCUCCUUUGACGUUAGCGGCGGACGGGUGAGUAACACGUGGGUAACCUACCUAUAAGACUGGGAUAACUUCGGGAAACCGGAGCUAAUACCGGAUAACAUUUGGAACCGCAUGGUUCUAAAGUGAAAGAUGGUUUUGCUAUCACUUAUAGAUGGACCCGCGCCGUAUUAGCUAGUUGGUAAGGUAACGGCUUACCAAGGCGACGAUACGUAGCCGACCUGAGAGGGUGCUCGGCCACACUGGAACUGAGACACGGUCCAGACUCCUACGGGAGGCAGCAGUAGGGAAUCUUCCGCAAUGGGCGAAAGCCUGACGGAGCAACGCCGCGUGAGUGAUGAAGGGUUUCGGCUCGUAAAACUCUGUUAUUAGGGAAGAACAAAUGUGUAAGUAACUGUGCACGUCUUGACGGUACCUAAUCAGAAAGCCACGGCUAACUACGU
rnacentral:rRNA from 1 species